rnacentral:lncRNA from 1 species
UUUUUUUUUUUUUUUUUUUUUUAAGAUUUAUUUAUUUAUUAUAUGUAAGUACACUGUAGCUGUCUUCAGACACUCCAGAAGAGGGCGUCAGAUCUUGUUACAGAUGGUUGUGAGCCACCAUGUGGUUGCUGGGAUUUGAACUCCUGACCUUCAGAAGAGCAGUCGGGUGCUCUUACCCACUGAGCCAUCUCACCAGCCCUACUUUUGUCUUAAAACAAGGCUUAAGUGUGUUUCUUUACAGCUUCACUUAAAAGUUGGCACAGGGGUUGACAAGAUGGCUCAGCUGGGUAAGGAUGCUUGCUGCCAAGGCCGAUGACCUAUGUAUGCUAGGCAAAGUCCUCUGCCACUGAGGUACAACUCCCAACUGAAGCUACUCUGGGUAAACCUGUGGCAUAAGUUAAAGAGGCCACUGAAAAAAACAUAGUAAGUGGUAAACUGGAAGUGACAUUAGGUAAAGACUACAAAAUUCCAAUUGAAGAACAUCUGUUAUUUCUAGCUUUGAAAAAUGCUUUUUAGGGCAGCCUCAUCUUUGAGUCUGCUCCCCUGCUGUUGCAGGGAGCUCCUACCUCAGCAAAGCUUUGUUUAUUGUUGUUGUAUGAGACAGGGAUUCUCCCUAGCACUGACUGUCCUGGAACUCACUAUGUAAAAAAGGCUGUCUGGGAACUCAGAAAUUAGCCUACUUCUGUCUCUGGAGUUCUGUAAUUAAAGGCAUGUCACCACACCUGGGAUUUUUCUGUUUUUUUGAGAGGGGUCUUAGUGUGUGGUCUCUGCUGACCUCAAGCUUAUGGGCUUAAUGUUCCUUCUGUGUUAGCUGAGCCCCGCGUUGAUACGACUUAAGUACUCUGUUUUUGAGUGCUUGCCCACCUUUGUGUUUCCCUCCCUCCCCAGCAUUUCUCUACAGUCCUUCCUACCUUAUCUCAGUGUUCACUCUGUACACCAAGGUGGCCUUAAACUCAAGAGGUCUUCCUGCUUCUGCUUCCCCAGUGCUGACAUCAAAGGUGUGCGCUAGCCACAGUGCCCAGCCUGCAGCACUCAGCCGGAGUCUAGUCUUUUGAAUCCAGCAGCUUCUGUCUAUCCGACUCUGACUGCCAGGAGUCAGUGAUCCCCUGAAGAGGUUUUAGUGAAAUGAACUCAGGUGGUUGGUUUAAGGUUUGAGUUUAUUUGGACUGUGGAGAUCCUCUGGUUACAUUUUUCCUUCUGGGAAAAAAUUGGGUUUUAUUUUGGAGUUUGCUAUCUAUUAUCUAUAGUUAAUAUAGCAAAUUAGCAUCUUUGUAAAGGCCUCCUAUAAUACAAAUAUAAAUGUACAGGGGGGAAGGCUAAGAAUUCCACAACAAUGAUAAUGAGGGACAUUAGCAAAACUUGCUAGCAGUAACAACCGUGACUACUGUGGUCCCAUGAAAAUAAAGAUUGCUUAACUUCAUUUGGAGAAUCUAAGGAACAAAACAGACCUAAUUCUGUUUUUGCCUUAACAUUUACAAUAUUAGAAGUUAAGAGCUUGCAGAAAAGUAGAUUUUGUUUUAAUUUUUUUAUUUUGAUUUUUGAGGCAAAGAUUUACUAGGUAGUAAACUCUCAAAGAAUUAAUUACCCUAGACAGAAUGUUGCCUGUCUAUAAUUUCCAGCACGUGGGUGGUGGAAGCGCAGAGAUCAGGAGUUCAGAAUCCUCUUCAACUGCAAAAUGAAUUGAAGCCAGCCUGAGUUCAGACCUCUGUCUCAAAGCAAGCAAGCAAGCAAGCAAGCAAGCAAGCAAAUCCCCAAACCCAAAGAAAGUGUGUUGGAGAGAUGUCUAAGUCCAUUCUGCUGUGAAGAAUGGUUCAACUCCCAGCAGCCACAUGGUGGUUUAUAACCAUCUGAAACUCCAGUUCCAGGGGAUCAGGUGCCCCCUUCUGACUCUGGCAGCCGCUAAGUUGGUGUGUGGUGCACAUACAUACAAAAAUAAAUGAAUAAAAUUAAAAAAUAGUU